ensembl:lncRNA
CAACAGUCUUUCAUGAAUGAGGCAGUAAGAAUGAAAAGACCUUUUAUAACUUCAUUUUGAACUCUGCCUGCAAACCAGAGUUUGUGGUCAUUGUGGUUUUAAGUGCAAUAAAAUCCACCUGCAGAGUUUUGCUAUUGUUUCUAAACAACCUGAAGUAGGAAGGAGAACAAGUAUGUUCAUUUGCUGCUGAAAGGGAAAGUUGACCAGGUUGGUAUUUAGUUGGCCAAUGCGGAAGUUAGAGUUGUUUACAAUUCUAAUUUCCAGAUUUCAAUAUUUAAUAUGUCAGUAAUAACUAAAACCUUUUGGAGAUCUCUAAGUAAUUAGUUACUAUUGUGCAUAGGACAAAUUUUGUAUUUGGAUCUUUUUCACUGGAGAUUAAGAUUUGUGUGUG